CCUACGGGAGGCAGCAGUGAGGAAUAUUGGUCAAUGGACGAGAGUCUGAACCAGCCAAGUCGCGUGAAGGAUGACUGCCCUAUGGGUUGUAAACUUCUUUUAUAUGGGAAUAAAAUGUUCCACGUGUGGGAUUUUGUAUGUACCAUAUGAAUAAGGAUCGGCUAACUCCGUGCCAGCAGCCGCGGUAAUACGGAGGAUCCGAGCGUUAUCCGGAUUUAUUGGGUUUAAAGGGAGCGUAGGUGGAUUGUUAAGUCAGUUGUGAAAGUUUGCGGCUCAACCGUAAAAGUGCAGUUGAAACUGGCAGUCUUGAGUACAGUAGAGGUGGGCGGAAUUCGUGGUGUAGCGGUGAAAUGCUUAGAUAUCACGAAGAACUCCGAUGGCGAAGGCAGUUCACUGGACUGCAACUGACACUGAGGCUCGAAAGUGUGGGUAUCAAACAGGAUUAGAUACCCGAGUAGUC
rnacentral:rRNA from 1 species